GAAGAUGAGAGAGAGGGAAGAAGUGAUAGGAUCAGUGAAUUACCUCGGUGAAUUACUUGUUUACUCAUAAGCAUUUUAUUACUGUUAUGUUAAAUUGUAUAGGGUGAAAGUUUGUUAGAAGGAUGUCCAGCUUGCACCUUAGUGGGAGGUCAGACCUUUAAACGGAGCAAUAGCUCUCUCUCUCAUGUAAUGUGUAUGAACUCUUAAUCAAUACAAAAUUAUAUUCUCUUGAGCUAAGCUCUUUCUCUUUCCCUCCCAACUAUUCCAUUGCUGCAAUUGUCAAGGUUGAAGCAGGAAUUGUAGGUGGUUCUUAUCAUUGGUAUCACCCAUAUCCAAUCCUGGUUUCCUUUCUUGCAUUCCCCGCAACAAACCCGCCACUAGCAAUUCUACCAUGGACGCCCGUAUUGCCGCUCUGGAAGCUAACGUUGCCGCUCUUUCCAAUUCCAUGGAAUCGAAGCUGAACGGUUUUUUUGAGCAAUUUCGCAGGGAGAUCACUUGCUCUGGUCUCGGGGGAGCUUCUUCCUCCGUGGUUGAUCAUGCCAACCCUCCACUUGCUCCCGAACCCACCAGUACUCGCCACGGCAACCUUCUUUGACAAAGUUUUGAUGACGGAGGGUCUAACCCACGGCUUCACUGGUAACAUCGCAUCGACUUUCCCCAUUUCACACCAGGUGACGAUCCAUCAGCCUGGGUAUACAAGGUGGAGCAAUUCUUUGCUUAUUACUCUACACCGGCGCACCAACAAGUUCCCACUGUUUCUUUCCACUUGGAUGGUGAGGCUUCCAGUGGUUUCGCUGGAUGAAUUGCUUGCAGACCACUCCAUGUUGGGAGGAUUUUACACUUGCCUUUUGCCAUGAGUUCGGUCUUUCUGAGUUUGAAGAUAGUGCUGAGGCACUUUUCAAAUUGCACCAAACAGGUACAUUACGGGACUAUAUUGCUGAAUUUCGUAGAUUGGCUAAUCGACCUUUAGAUCUAGGCUCUAUCUUGCUUAAGAGUUGCUUUAUUGGUGGUCUGAAGAAAGAAAUGAUGUUAAGCUUUUGCGUCCUGCUAAUGUUCAUGAAUCUAUGGCUAUUACUUUGCAAUUAGAUGCAAAAUUCUGUGAUAUGAAAAGGGUAUACAGUAAGCCUUCUGUCCCACCAAAACCACCAUUUACACCCCUUCCUUCGCCUCUUGCUCCAUCCCAUUCCUUACCCGUUAAAAGACUAAGCUCCGAUGAGAUCCAACAAAAACGUGAUAGGGGAGAGUGCUGGUUCUGUGAAGACAAGUGGACUCUGGGACAUAAAUGCACUAAGAAACAACUGCUGAUGCUUGAUCUUGUUUCCCCGGAAGACAAAAUUAUCUUGGCCCCUUCUACGGACUGCCCACCCGAAUUACAACACAUGUCCCUUAGUGAAUGUGCAUUCUAUGGUACCCUUGUUAAGACCAAUGUGCAAACCAUGAAGGUUAAUAGUCUGGUUAAUGGUCAAUCUGUCACUAUUCUUCUUGAUUCGAGGAGCACACACAAUUUCGUGGAUUCUCGAUUGUUUAAAAAGUUUGGUUGGCAGUCACACCCCACCAAGCAAUUUGAAGUGAUGAUUGUUGAUGGGGGCACAGUCAGCAGCUCUGGUUGUACUAAGGAUGCUCAGUUGUCUAUUGGAGGUUAUGAUUGUUAGAUUGAUCUUUUGUCCUUACCUUUGGGAGGUUGUGAUGUGGUUUUAGGGGUUUAGUGGCUUUCCUCCAUAAGCCCCGUCCUCUGGGAUUUCUAACUCAUGACAUUAGCAUUCUUUAAAGGCAACACACAGUACACACUUUUCCAUAAGCAGGGAGUGCAACUCUAAUCCAAGAAACCUCUCUGCAACAACUUGACAGAGAUAUUCUGAAUUCACACUUGGGUUUAUUUCUCUAUUUUAUGGAGCACUCCAAACUGGACGCUUGUGAUUUGAACGCUGACCAGCUUGUUGAGUUACAUGAUUUAUUAGGGCAAUUUACGGAGAUCUUUACCUUACCUACCAAGCUACCCCCUACAAGGUCUCACAACCAUCAAAUGCCCAUUCUCUCUGGUUCUAAGCCUACAAACAUCAGGCCCUACCAUUAUGGACCCCUUCAAAAGACUGAGAUUGAAAAAUCUGUGCAGGAAUUAUUGGAUUUAGGGUUCAUUCGACCAAGUCACAGCCCAUUUUCUUGUCCUGUGCUUUUGGUGAAAAAGAAAGAGGGGUCGUGGAGACUUUGUAUGGAUUACAGGGAGUUAAACUCUAUCACCAUCAAGGACAAGUACCCCAUUCCUCUUAUUAAUGAUCUCCUAGAUGAACUGCAUGGUGCUAUGUUUUUUUUCUAAACUUGACCUGAGAUCCGGCUAUCACCAAAUCCUCAUGGAUCCUGAGGACAUCGAGAAGACGGCCUUUAGAACCCAUGAAGGCCACUAUGAAUUUCUAGUGAUGUCUUUCGAUCUCACCAAUGUACCUGCCACCUUGCAACACCUAAUGAAUGACAUUUUUAAGCCCUAUCUAUGAAAAUUCAUUCUUGUCUUCUUUGAUGACAUCUUGGUGUAUAGUCAUAGUUGGGAAGACCACUUAGCUCAUCUUUCUACUGCAUUCCAGGUGUUAGUUGAGCAUCAAUUAUAUGUGAAAAAAUAGAAGUGUUCUUUUGGGGUGACUCGGAUUGAGUAUUUGGGCCACAUAGUGUCACGAGAAGGAGUGGAGGCCGACCCUUCCAAGAUUCAGGCCAUAUUAGACUGGCUAAUUCCUACCACUGUGAAAGAAUUAAGGGGUUUUAUGGGGCUCACAGGGUACUACAGAAAAUUCGUGCCUGGAUAUGGAAAAAUUUGCCAACCAUUGUACCUCCUAACCAAGAAUGACGGUUUCCAAUGGUCUCCAAAAGCUGAAAAAGCUUUCCAGACACUCAAAAGCACCAUGUCAUCUCUACAUGUCCUUGCUCAUCCUAACUUUGCAUUACCAUUCGAACUCGAGUGUGACGCCUCAGGUAAUGGCAUUGAGGCAGUCCUCCAACAGCAAUGAAGCCCAUAGCCUUCACUAGUCAGGCCUUGGGGCCCAAGAAUCAAGCACUUUCAGCUUACGAGCGGAAACUUAUUGCUAUAGUGCAUGCGGUAAAAAAGUGGCAGAAUUACUUGCAAGGGAGGCACUUCGUGAUCCAAACGGACCAUUGCAGUUUAAAGUAUUUCCUCAAUCAGAGGGCCAGUACUCUUUUCCAACAAAAGUGGGUGACCAAAUUACUAGGCUUUGACUAUGAAAUCCAGUAUAAGAAAGGUUGUGACAACGUCGUGGCAGAUGCUCUCUCAAGGGUCCACAGCUCUAGUUCCUUGACUGACUUAGACCAUUAUGGUAUUAGUUUUUCCUCCAUAUCCUACCCUUACUUUGGAUGGCUCGAUGAAUUGCAAAGGGAAAAUAAGCAGGAUGAGUGGAUCAAGCACAAGCUCAAGGCAUUGGAAGACAUUAACUCUCGGACUAUUGAGGAGCCUAGUUUAUCACCUUACAAACUCAAUAAUGGUUUCCUGAAGUACAAAAACAGGAUUGUAAUCAGUCCUAACUCUCAUUGGAAGUUGGUAAUUUUAGAGGAGCACCAUUCUACCUCGACUGCAGGCAUCAAGGUGUUUUGAAGAUAUCACAGAAUUAAAAGAGGAUUCUAUUGGCCUGGUUUGAAGAAUGACAUCAAGCACUUCAUUUCUGAUUGCAAUACUUGCCAACGAAAUAAAUAUGAGACCCUUUCCUCUCCAUGUUUGAUUCAACCAUUUCUCAUUCCCCAACAAAUCUGGACAGAUAUCAGUAUGGAUUUCAUAGUAGGACUAUCCUUGUGUCAUGGAAAAUCUAUCAUAAUGGUUGUAGUUGAUAGACUCACUAAAUAUGCCCACUUCCGGCCAUUAGCACAUCCCUAUACGGCCACCAUAGUAGCUCAGUUGUUUGUGGAUAAUGUGUUUAAGUUACAUUGGAUGCCCUCAACUAUAGUUAGUGACCUAGAUCCAAUAUUCCUCAGUGCUUUCUGGAAAGAGUUCUUUAAGCUAUAGGGGUCCAAGCUUUGCAUGAGCUCAGGCUACCACCCAUAAAGUGAUGGCUCAUCGAAGGUUGUAAACAGGUGCCUUGAAACUUACCUGAGGUGUUUUGCGGGGAAUCAGCCUAAAAAAUGGGUGCAGUUUCUAGCCUGGGCUGAGUGGAAUUACAAUACCUCCUAUCACACUUUUGCAAGGUUUACACCCUUUGAGUUAGUGUAUGGGUAUCCACCACCCAUGUUGAAUCCUAUGAGAAAGGCACAUCUAAGUUGGAGACUGUGGAACAAGGGCUGCUUAAGAGGGACAGAUUGCUCACAAUGCUAAAAACGAACCUGGAAGUUGCGUAGAACAGGAUGAAGGUGCAAGCCAACAAGCAUAUGACUGAAAGGGAAUUUGUGGUUAAAGACUAUGUGUAUCUCAGGUUAAUUCCCUAUCAAUUACAGUCCCUAGCUUCUCAUGCUUAUCACAAGUUGCAUCCCAGGUUCUAUGGCCCCUAUGAAGUCAUUGAGAAGAUUGGCCUAGUUGCAUAUAAGUUAAAGCUAUCGGUAGGCUCGAAAAUACACCCUGUGUUCCAUGUUAACUGCCUUAAAAAGCAUUUGGGAAACUUGAUUCAGCCUAGCACUGCACUACCAGAAGUGACUGAUGAUGGGAAAAUGCAGGAUUCUCCUUUGGCAAUCCUUGCCAAGAGAAUGUACAAGAAAGGGGCGGCUGCAGGAGUGCAAUUGCUAGUUCAUUGGGCGGGACAAGACGAGGUUGAAGCCACAUGGGAAGACUAUGAAGACUUCCAGUCAAGAUUUCCAGAUUUCCAAUUUUGAUAACCUUGAGGACAAGGUUGUUCUUCAAGGAGAGAGUGUUGAUAGGAUCAGUGAAUUACCUCGGUGAAUUACUUGUUUACUCGUAAGCAUUUUAUUACUGUUAUGUUAAAUUGUCUAGGGUGAAAGUUUGUUAGGAUGAUGUUCAGCUGGCACCUUAGUGGGAGGUCAGGCCUUUAAAUGGAGCAAUAGCUCUCUCUCUCAUGUAAUGUGUAUGAACUCUUAAUCAAUACAAAAUUAUAUUCUCUGGAGCUGAGCUCAUUCUCUUUCCCUUCCCACUAUUCCAUUGCUGCAAUUGUCAAGGUUGAAGCAGGAACUGUAGGUGGUUCUUAUCAAGAAGAAUGAGAAGGAACUCUCGCUGCGUGGUGGAUCUCGGUUCUU
rnacentral:lncRNA from 1 species